ACCAGAAGUAAUGCAGUUGUUCAUACUGGUCUUGGACUUCCCCAACAAAUUUUAACUUUUAUAUUGAGAGUCAUGAAAAAUUAAAACUCCUAUUCAAAAUGAUACCCUUAACCUAGAGAAAAUUCUGUGAGAUACUACCUGAAACUUUAACUGCCUGCCUUAUGCUAUUCCUUCAUGAGGUUUUCUACAAUAUAAUCAGGAUAUAUAUACACAGUGCAUAAUAUGGUGAAAUUGGAGAAGCAUGCACAAGGCCAAAACAUGUCU